UACAGAGGGGGCAAGCGUUGUUCGGAAUUACUGGGCGUAAAGGGCGCGUAGGCGGCCUGCUAAGUCGAACGUGAAAUCCCUGGGCUCAACCCAGGAACUGCGUCCGAUACUGGCAGGCUUGAAUCCGGGAGAGGGAUGCGGAAUUCCAGGUGUAGCGGUGAAAUGCGUAGAUAUCAGGAGGAACACCGGUGGCGAAGGCGGCAUCCUGGACCGAGACUGACGCUGAGGAGCGAAAGCCAGGGGAGCAAACGGG
rnacentral:rRNA from 1 species